rnacentral:rRNA from 1 species
GCGUUGUCCGGAAUCAUUGGGCGUAAAGCGCGCGUAGGCGGUCCGGUAAGUCCGCUGUGAAAGUCGGGGGCUCAACCCUCGGAUGCCGGUGGAUACUGUCGGGCUUGAGUACGGAAGAGGCGAGUGGAAUUCCUGGUGUAGCGGUGAAAUGCGCAGAUAUCAGGAAGAACACCCGUGGCGAAGGCGGUUCUCUGGGACGGUACUGACGCUGAGACGCGAAAGCGUGGGGAGCGAACAGG